GGAGUUCCUGCGGGGUGGCUGCGGCCUGAGACCCCCCUUGAUUGGCGAGAAUGCGACGGGAACAUCGUACGCACUGCUCUGUCACCAGGGGAACCCGUUGAACCUGAACCGGAUAAUACCGGCGGAGGGACAGGGCGCUGCAAUUCU
rnacentral:ncRNA from 2 species